AGAGUUUGAUCAUGGCUCAGGACGAACGCUGGCGGCGUGCCUAAAACAUGCAAGUCGAACGGAGGUAGCAAUACCUCAGUGGCGAACGGCGGAGUAAUACAUAAGCAACGUGCCCUAAAGACCGGGAUAGUCAGUGGAAACGCUGGGUAAUACCGGAUGUGGUAACUCAUUGGCAUCUUUGAGUUAUUAAAUGGUUUUUCGCUUUAGGAGCGGCUUAUGGCCUAUCAGGUAGUUGGGGGGGUAAUGGCUCACCAAGCCGACGACGGGUAGUGGGUCUGAGAGGAUGAUCCGCUCGAGUGGGACUGAGACACGGCCCACACACCUACGGGUGGCAGCAGUUGGGAAUCUUGCACAAUGGGGGAAACCCUGAUGCAGCGACGCCGCGUGGAGGAUGAAGGGUCUAGGCCUGUAAACUCCUUUUAUCGGGAAAGACUUAGGACGGUACCCGAUGAAUAAGGACCGGCUAACUACGUGCCAGCAGCCGCGGUAAUACGAAGGGUGCUAGCGUUGUUCGGAAUCACUGGGCGUAAAGCGCGCGUAGGCGGCGUAACAAGUCAGAGGUGAAAGCCUGGAGCUCAACUCCAGAAUUGCCUUUGAAACUGUUAUGCUUGAGUGUCGGAGGGGAUAGCGGAAUUGCUAAUGUAGAGGUGAAAUUCGUAGAUAUUAGCAGGAACACCGGUGGCGAAGGCGGCUAUCUGGACGACAACUGACGCUGAGGCGCGAAAGCGUGGGGAUCAAACAGGAUUAGAUACCCUGGUAGUCCACGCUGUAAACGAUGGGUGCUAGCCGUUCGGGGGAUACCUCUGAGUGGCGCAGCUAACGCGUUAAGCACCCCGCCUGGGGAGUACGGUCGCAAGAUUAAAACUCAAAGAAAUUGACGGGGACCCGCACAAGCGGUGGAACAUGUGGUUUAAUUCGAGGCAACGCGAAGAACCUUACCAGGUCUUGACAUGCUUCUCGCGGGGUAGAGAAAUUUACCCCUUCAGUUCGGCUGGAGAAUGCACAGGUGCUGCAUGGCUGUCGUCAGCUCGUGUCGUGAGAUGUUGGGUUAAGUCCCGCAACGAGCGCAACCCUCAUCCUUUGUUGCUAACAGGUAAUGCUGAGAACUCUAAGGAAACUGCCGGUGAUAAGCCGGAGGAAGGUGGGGAUGACGUCAAGUCCUCAUGGCCCUUACGGCCUGGGCUACACACGUGUUACAAUGGCAGUGACAAUGGGACGCUACCCUGCAAGGGGAUGCAAAUCUCAAAA
rnacentral:rRNA from 1 species